rnacentral:tRNA from 2 species
GCGGGAGUAGUUCAGUGGCUAGAACAUCUGCCUUCCAAGCAGAAUGUCGCGGGUUCGAAUCCCGUCUCCCGCU